rnacentral:rRNA from 1 species
UACAGAGGGGGCAAGCGUUGUUCGGAAUUACUGGGCGUAAAGGGCGCGUAGGCGGCCUGCUAAGUCGAAUGUGAAAUCCCCGGGCUCAACCCGGGAACUGCGUCCGAUACUGACAGGCUUGAAUCCGGGAGAGGGAUGUGGAAUUCCAGGUGUAGCGGUGAAAUGCGUAGAGAUCCGGAGGAACACCGGUGGCGAAGGCGGCAUCCUGGACCGGUAUUGACGCUGAGGCGCGAAAGCUAGGGGAGCAAACGGG